rnacentral:lncRNA from 1 species
GAAAGUGUUGUUCGUGUUUAAUGGUUACAUAUGAUCUUGUUUAGGUCCAUGUUUGAACCUUUCUCCGAAAAGCUGGAUGACCCUCAUCUUUUAUCGUGAUAUACACUUUUGUGAUUGCAUUGGGACAAGCCAAAUGCUCAUUAUUCUUUUUAAUGUAUGGGAAUGCCCUAUUGCUUCCAAGUGUAGGCACGUUCAGUACACCAGCACUUAAAAAGUUGGAAACUCAAUAAAAAUUCAUGCAAAUAAAUAUUUCUGGAAAGUAAGGUGCACAUCAACUUGGUUCAUAGCGACCGACACACAUCGGGACAUCUACCAUUCAUUCACUAAGAUGAACGGUCAAGAUAAAUUCUAGUCAAGUGAAGGCUUGUCUUUGGGGAGAUUCAUGAACAUCGCAGAUGGCGGAUAAUCCUACAAUGCACUACGAAUCCGGUAAUCAAAAUUGAGGGACUGUUUGAUUGCAAAAGUUUGUCAAAUGAUGGGUUUUCUUUUUCCAAGUUGUAGUCGACCAAAUGGCAUUUUAGUCAAAAUGUCAUUUGCCUUCUGUGGGUGUUUGAUUGUUACGAUUUGAACUACAAGUUGUUAUACGAUGUGAUGGUGGUGGGUAUUUGAUUAAAUACAAUUUGACCUACAAGUUGUUAUAUGGUGUCACGGUGGUGGUUGUGUUGAUGGUGUGAUGCUGGUAGUAUUGGGUGAUAAUGAUGGUGGUGGUUGUGGGUGGGUAGUGGUGGAGUGGUGGUGAUAAAG